AGGGAGAGACCAGGAAAGAUGGGUUCCCUGGAAACUCAAGCCAGAAGGGUGACCAGGGUGGUUCUGGCUCACCAGGUCUGGAUGGUAUUCCUGGACAGAAGGGGGAGGCAGGAUCAAACGGGUCUAAGGGGAUCGAUGGAGCAAUGG